GCCCGGGGCCCAGAGACGACAAUGAAGCUGGCGGGCUGACCCAGCUGCUUCAGCUCGCGCCCGGGUAACCACGGCAACCGCAGGCUUCAGGAAUGCGCGCUAAUUGAAGGCCGAGUUUCCUCCCACGGUGAUGAGCAACAAGUGAAGCAAAAAUAGGUCGUGAAGAGCUAAGUGGACGCCCUUUACCCUUCAGACAUCUUGGGGCAAAAUUGUCAGUGAACAGUCCUUAACCAUCUCUGUGCUGGGCCCCUUUGAUCGGUCCUGGUAAAUGAAUGGCGAUGUGUACAUCCCUAGGACCCCACAAAUGAAACGCCAACUAGCAGCGAGGGUCCGGCAGGUGAAGGAAGGAGCCGACCCUCAUUUGCUCCCAGUUUCCCUGGAUCUUCUGUUCUGUUCUCUUCAACCGAAAGGAGAACCUUCAAGGCGGUCACAUUUAUGGGGCGACCAUGAUACCAGUUUGGACAGUCAGCACCAGGCUGGGGCUGGCAAAGAGGAAGAGAAGGAGGAGGAGGGACCUUGGCAUCAAGGAGCCUUUCUUAACGGCCAGAACGUCACAGGGGUGGCAACACAAUGGGAUUCAGAUUGAGGCGGCAUUGACACCGGGCUGAGAGUCAAUGUUUCCGGUACAGCUGAGCCAAACAAGGGAGAAGCUUAGAGUCCCAUUCUACCACCUGGAAGGGAGCUACCCAGAGACGUUCCAGGCUUCCUUUCAGUUAUGAUACCCUUCCAACAAAUUCUUUUCCCGCGGAAGUUGCUCACCUCCGUCGCUUUCAACCACAUCCCUGAUGGAUCUAUCACCAGUAACGAUUUCAACAGCCAGAUGAAGAAUGAUGACCAGUGAGAUUAAACCAUGUUAUCUCACUUGGGACUGUAUGCAUUGAUUGCACUGACCCUUUAUAAAGCAACAAAUAUAUACUCAGCACUGACUAACGUUUAAGAAGCAUAAAGUAUUAGGUACAGAUUCUGACCGUUUGUCACUAAAAACAAAAAAACAUUCACACCAGCCUCUUUAUACCUGACACUCUGCGGGGCAUUACAGAUAUGAAGACAAAUGAGAGUUGGUCCUAUAUCUGAAGACCACGUGGUCCAGUGCUACUGAGAAGCUUCCAGUGUUGUGGGAGAAAUCAAGACGAGUACGCAUGCAGUACCAGGGUUACUACUCACACGAGGUAAAACUAGAAUACAAGACUGGCAGGUUCUGUCCUUGGCCCUUUCCACUUUAUAAAAUCUUCCCGGGUGACUCAUCUACUCUUUCAUGGUUCUGAUUAUCACUCAGGAUUCUCAAAUCUGUCUUCUCGGAUCCUGGCUUCUCCACUGAGUUCCAGACCUAUGUUUCUAGUCAGCAAGACAUCCGUACCUUGGUUCCCAUAGGCCUCUUGUUCAACUUGUCGCGAACCAAAGUCACUCUCCUGCCUCCCCAACCUGGUUUCCAACCUGUGUCCUCUCUUAGUUGAUGGAACACCUGCCUACCCAGCUAGCUAGAAAUCAUGGUAUCCUUUUGACUCCUCCCUCUCUCCUCUCUCCUUUUAUACAUUAGUCACCAAGAUCCGUCACCUUCCACCUCAGAAAUGCUUCUGUGUUGUUCUCAAUUCACCGCUCUGGUUCAGAAUCUCCUAUGCUUUUCAUCCCCACUGCUGCAGCACCCCCAGGGCCCAUCCUUCUGUUCUAGCAUUCCUUUUGCAUUGUCUACACUGCUGCUAAUUAUAGUUUUGACCCUAAAGUCUCACUUCAUUCUUCUUAGUAUUUCUUUACCGGAUCCCCAAAGUCUUCAGGAUGAAGUCCAAACGCCUUAGUCUGACACAGAAGCCGCUUCACAACUGUGCUCGGUCAACUUUCCCACCUUCACCUUUGUGAGUAUGGUGAGAAAAAUAAACUCAACUUUGCCUCUAAUUGACCCCUUUAACUCAUCUCUCCUUACUGAUUGGUCAUCUGAAAUUCCAACCAGCUUUCUGCUCCCCACUUUGUGACCAUCUCCAAGGAAAGCUACUUUCAACUCUUUCCAGGCACCAUCAAUAGUCUCUCCUCAUUCUCAAGGGAUUGGUCCUUUUGACCCUGACCUACUGCAAAAGACCACAGUCUAUUCUCUGUGGCUUCCUUGUGAACGAGCAUCACCCUGUACAGUCUUGUAACCAACCUGUACCCCUUCUAUCUCUGUCACGAGGACUGAAGUCCUGGGAGGCCAUCUGCUCAUUUGUCAAGGUAGUCACAUCCCUCAUGUCUAUCUACUUUUCAGUCCAAAAUUUUAAAAUUGAAAUGAAACUCAAAAGUUACCUACACACCAUUUCCUAUACAUAAA